AACGGCCGUACCAUGCUGAAUAUACCGGUUCUCGUUAGAUCACCGAAGUUAAGCAUCAUUGGGUGCGUCAGUAACCACCUGGGAACACUGCGUGCCGUU